CUUCCUGUUUUAGUACUGUACAUCUGCUCCAUAUUCGGAUGUGUGGCUAUGCUAACAGGAAAGAGCAACUCUGUCAAGAUCUGAAGGGGUGUGCAGCUGUCCUCUGCUACCUCUAUAUGUGUUGACAGUACAGACAUCU